rnacentral:rRNA from 1 species
CAAGUCGAACGGUAACAGGAAGCAGCUUGCUGCUUCGCUGACGAGUGGCGGACGGGUGAGUAAUGUCUGGGAAACUGCCUGAUGGAGGGGGAUAACUACUGGAAACGGUAGCUAAUACCGCAUAACGUCGCAAGACCAAAGAGGGGGACCUUCGGGCCUCUUGCCAUCGGAUGUGCCCAGAUGGGAUUAGCUAGUAGGUGGGGUAACGGCUCACCUAGGCGACGAUCCCUAGCUGGUCUGAGAGGAUGACCAGCCACACUGGAACUGAGACACGGUCCAGACUCCUACGGGAGGCAGCAGUGGGGAAUAUUGCACAAUGGGCGCAAGCCUGAUGCAGCCAUGCCGCGUGUAUGAAGAAGGCCUUCGGGUUGUAAAGUACUUUCAGCGGGGAGGAAGGUGUUGAGGUUAAUAACCUCAGCAAUUGACGUUACCCGCAGAAGAAGCACCGGCUAACUCCGUGCCAGCAGCCGCGGUAAUACGGAGGGUGCAAGCGUUAAUCGGAAUUACUGGGCGUAAAGCGCACGCAGGCGGUCUGUCAAGUCGGAUGUGAAAUCCCCGGGCUCAACCUGGGAACUGCAAUCGAAACUGGCAGGCUAGAGUCUUGUAGAGGGGGGUAGAAUUCCAGGUGUAGCGGUGAAAUGCGUAGAGAUCUGGAGGAAUACCGGUGGCGA